rnacentral:lncRNA from 1 species
GAGCCUGGGGCAUGCUCGCCUACGUACUUUCAAGUCCUGGCUUUGUGCUGCCUGCAAAGUGUCUCAUCGGAACUAGCCCUGGAGCCUUGCAUGGAAACCGUGGUGCUUUGGAGAGGAUGCUCACAGAUCCAGAGGUCUGGUCGAAGGCAUGGAAGAGCCCCGUCCAGGGCAGUAGAGCAUCCAUGGAAGAUACAACGGAAUAUAAGGCCUUGGUCCUCUAACUCUGGUCCAGCUUUUUCUGGCUUGAACUUGUCUUGAGCAUCUUUUUCCAAUUUUUGAAAGUUCCGUUUUCUGUUCCAAAUCAAGCUGGUUUCCCAUACCCUUCUCUCCACACCCAGGUGGGAGACACACAAGCUUCUGUUUGUGUCUUGCUUGCGUCUGGAUCUGGUGGAACCUUCAUUCCUGAGGAUCUCUGCUGUGGGUGGAUGGAACAGCUACUUUACUCACCACUGUGAUUUCACAAGCUACACAUUUGCGUGGUGACCCAGGCAUCAGUGGAAUUCAAAAUCUUUGUGAAGAACAAACUUUUGCACAGCAAAGGGAACCAUAAAUAAAACGAAAAGACGACCUCCA